CCCGCUCAGAAACUCAAAUGAAUUGACGGGGGCCCGCACAAGCGGUGGAGCAUGUGGUUUAAUCGAUGAUACGCGAGGAACCUUACCUGGGCUCAAAUGUAUGUUGACGUAUUCUGAAAGGGAUACUUCUUCGGACAAUAUACAAGGUGCUGCAUGGUUGUCGUCAGCUCGUGCCGUGAGGUGUCGGGUUAAGUCCCAUAACGAGCGCAACCCCUAUCAUUAGUUGCCAUCAGGUCAAGCUGGGGACUCUAAUGAAACUGCCUACGCAAGUAGUGAGGAAGGUGGGGAUGACGUCAAAUCAGCACGGCCCUUACGUCCAGGGCUACACACGUGCUACAAUGGCCGGUACAAAGGGCAGCUACCUGGUGACAGGAUGCUAAUCUCAAAAGCCGGUCUCAGUUCGGAUCGGAGUCUGCAACCCGACUCCGUGAAGCUGGAAUCGCUAGUAAUCGUGGAUCAGCAUGCCACGGUGAAUACGUUCCCGGGCCUU
rnacentral:rRNA from 1 species